rnacentral:lncRNA from 1 species
CGCAGGGCAUUAAAUGAAGCCCAGAAUAAAACAAAAAAUAGCAACCAAACCGUGCCUGCAUUUCAAAAUUGGUGGAAUUUUCGGUAAUCCCAGUAAGUGGGCCCACAACCAAUGGCAAUAGUGAACCAUAACCCCCAUGACCAAUUAAAAAAAAAAACCCUUCAGCAAACCCACAUGCAGCGAAAAUACACAGUCACAGCAGGGGAAAAAAUCAAUUAAUUAAAAUAUACCCUACCAAAUAAAUAGCAAAGUUAACAGUAUGAAA